GGAGAUGCCUCAGUCCAAACCUCCUUGAGUCUCUGACAACAGGGAAGUAGCCUGGCCCCCAAUUCCCAAUUACAUCCCAGCUAAUUUGAAAUGAAGCCUAACAAGAUAAGCCAAGUCUGGAGAGAAGGAGACAGCUGACAGAAAAUCUAUAAGAAGAAUGAAGCCCUGACAGGAAAUAUGCUGAAAAGCUACCGUAAUAAAUUUGACAUAAGAUGCAUGACGUGGAUGGAUAGAACAUUGUUCGCAAGGCCUGGCAAAUGAAACUGGGGCUUACAGGGAGGCAGAGACAUUGUUCUACAAGGCAUGCUUCAGGUAGGAACCAAAUUUGAAGCGGCCAUAUAUUUCAGUUUUGCUUAAACUGAAUAAUAAAGAAGGCUUGCUCAGAAAUCUUAUUGCACCUUGG
ensembl:lncRNA